CAUAUGAAUAUGUUUCUGUUUUAUGGAAAGAUAUUUUGAACGGUGUAAAGUUUAACAGUACCUUCUGAAUAUGUUUCAGGUUUGUGGAAAUUAUGGCUCCUGUCUUUUCUCGAAAAGCUUGGCGGUGUGUAUGGCACAUGAUUCAGGUAUAUUGAGAUGAUUUCUUUGGAGCAAUUCUUGACAACAUUUGUAGUUGAGGCCUUUAGAAUGGAAGAAUGUAUUUCACUAAUUUUUGUGUACAUUUCUUGUUUUGUAUUUAGUGAUAAAGGAAUCUAAAUUGGGCAUAAAUUAUGUUGUAAUAUGAUUUCUUAAGCCUAGACUAGUAGACUAAAUAUUGUAAUUACAUUUUGAGUAAUUAAUAAAAAUCUAUUUAUGUUA